rnacentral:rRNA from 1 species
GCUAAACGCGAAGAACCUUACCAGGACUUGACAUCCCUCUGACCGGGUAGUAACGUACCCUUUCCUACGGGACAGAGGAGACAGGUGGUGCAUGGUUGUCGUCAGCUCGUGUCGUGAGAUGUUGGGUUAAGUCCCGCAACGAGCGCAACCCUUGUCUUUAGUUGCCAGCACUUAGGGUGGGCACUCUAGAGAGACUGCCGGGGAUAACUCGGAGGAAGGUGGGGAUGACGUCAAAUCAUCAUGCCCCUUAUGUUCUGGGCUACACACGUGCUACAAUGGCCGGUACAACGGGAAGCGAAGGAGUAAUCCGGAGCGAAUCCUAAAAGCCGGUCUCAGUUCGGAUUGUGGGCUGCAACUCGCCCACAUGAAGCCGGAGUUGCUAGUAAUCGUGGAUCAGAAUGCCGCGGUGAAUGCGUUCCCGGGUCUUGUACACACCG